rnacentral:rRNA from 1 species
GACGGCAGCACAGAGAAGCUUGCUUCUUGGGUGGCGAGUGGCGAACGGGUGAGUAACAUAUCGGAACGUACCGAGUAGUGGGGGAUAACUAAUCGAAAGAUUAGCUAAUACCGCAUACGUCUUGAGAGAGAAAGCAGGGGAUCUUCGGACCUUGCGCUAUUCGAGCGGCCGAUAUCUGAUUAGCUAGUUGGUGGGGUAAAGGCCUACCAAGGCGACGAUCAGUAGCGGGUCUGAGAGGAUGAUCCGCCACACUGGGACUGAGACACGGCCCAGACUCCUACGGGAGGCAGCAGUGGGGAAUUUUGGACAAUGGGCGCAAGCCUGAUCCAGCCAUGCCGCGUGUCUGAAGAAGGCCUUCGGGUUGUAAAGGACUUUUGUCAGGGAAGAAAAGGUUGGUGCUAAUAUCGCUGACUGAUGACGGUACCUGAAGAAUAAGCACCGGCUAACUACGUGCCAGCAGCCGCGGUAAUACGUAGGGUGCGAGCGUUAAUCGGAAUUACUGGGCGUAAAGCGAGCGCAGACGGUUUGUUAAGCAGGAUGUGAAAUCCCCGGGCUCAACCUGGGAACUGCGUUCUGAACUGGCAAGCUAGAGUGUGUCAGAGGGGGGUAGAAUUCCACGUGUAGCAGUGAAAUGCGUAGAGAUGUGGAGGAAUACCGAUGGCGAAGGCAGCCCCCUGGGAUAACACUGACGUCAUGCUCGAAA